GAACCAGUCUAAAGGAGCUGAAGGAUGCCAGCCCUUGCCAUGGAAACUCAUCCCCCGCAAUGACUCAGUGUCUGUCCUCAGACCGGCCCCAAUGGAGGCCCCGGGCCCACCUCAGCCAACCGGCAAAUCAUUGAACAGAAGUCAAGGGCACCCCCAGGAGGUGAGACCUGGGAUCACUCACUCAACCAGCGCGCAGUCCCAGAGAGUCUGGGAAAGACAAUGAAUCAAGCCAGAGCACAAGCAGGGGCCAGAUGGAGAGGAGCUCGAUCCACAGAGCUGUGGCUACCAGUUUAGGCAUGAGGGGCACCUUCAUGUCAGCUUUCUAACCAUGAUGUGACCACAGUUCAAGGACAAACGAAGGUAAGUCCAAUUGAGUUUGGAGAGGGGGCUUGCUUCAUCUCUUGGCUUCUCUGCUGCUGCUGAAGGA
rnacentral:lncRNA from 1 species